rnacentral:misc_RNA from 1 species
UGACGCCCUAGUUCAGAUAGUUCUGAGGCUGAGGAAGCAUGCACUGGGUGAAAAAGAUGAUGCUCCUGAUGUUCCUCAAGUAGAUUCUGUGUAUGCGAGUAGCCUGUCUGCUCCUCAAGUAUUACCCCCUAUUCCACCAGUUGCCCCUUAUGGGUAUGAUCAGAGGGGUGAAGCUGAAAGGGGACUGGGGAUGCUUUCUGGCAGCAAUUUAUAUGGAUACAGCUCCUUGCAGGGCGGAGAGGGUGGUGGCUAUGGAGGUCUUUCAUCUUACUCAUCAAAG